GUGCUCGCUUCGGCAACACAUAUACUAAAAUUGGAACGAUACAGAGAAGAUUAGCAUGGCCCCUGCACAAGGAUGACACGCAAAUUCGUGAAGUGUUUCAUAUUUUU
rnacentral:snRNA from 1 species